ACAAAUACAGGCAAAAUCAUUGCAGAGAAUGUAUCUGUGACUAGUCUAGAAAAUGUCACUGUAGGGGCUGGUGUAUUGCUCAGCAGUACAUAUUUUGAAGAGCAAACAACAGGCCCUAUGUACAAACACAGAUAAUAAAAAUUUACCAGGUGACCUGGUAUAAGUGGAAAACAAUGAUAAACAGACCCUUUUACUGUUCAUAUAGAUUUCAUUUCAGAGUGUUAUUCACUAGAGAUACAUGCAAAUCUUAAAAACAUUAAGCUUUCAGUUAUAGACAGCUCUGAAACUAUUACUGCAUUUUAACAUAGAUUCUCCAAUUCUUACAUGGCACAACUUUUUAUUUCUUCUGAAUCUCUUUCAUAUAUGCACAUUACUGUGUAAGGUUCUCUGCAAUACAUGGCACCUUCCACAUCUAUUCUCUACUCUGACUACUGAAAAUUACUCUGAUAGCUAUUUUCUAAUUGACAAAUUCUUAAGGGUUAUUUUGAAAUAUAUAUUUCAGGAGGCAUUAUAAUGAAAUACAAUGAAUAUAAAGUUUUGGUGAGAGAUGUUUAUUUUAACUUAAUGUCAAUACCAUCAGCAUUAUCACCUUUACAUUCAAACUUACCAUUGUUCAGAUUCUUUUUACAUAAACUGGCCAUAAUCAUUUAUAUCAGUAGGUGAAUUCUGAAAAAAAAAAUACUACUUGGACCAGGCCUAUCAUGGUUCUUAUACAGUAGGCACUCACAAGCUCCUAGCAGCAACAUAAUGAUGGAGGUCUAGGGGGAUGUAGGGUGAUAGCAUACUAAGAAUGGGAAAUAGAAAGCUACAUCUUUUAUUAGACUUUUUCUUUCUAUGUGUAGCAGAGCCAGUGGUCUUAUGGGCUAUUUGGACCAUAUUACCUCUCUUUCACAUUCUCCCCAGGGUAGAAACAUGAAAUAAUAUUAUAGUUUGUGUGUGAAAGAUGUAUUAUACUAUAGAACCAUUUUACAAUGUAAAAUUUGUAAAGCAUACUUUAUCACAAGUUCAAUUGCACCUAAAACCCUAGAGAGAUAGACUUUAAAGCACAGUGGGUGAGAAUCAAAAUUGUGUUUUUGUCAGAAAUAAAUAAACUUUUAGUAUUUAAUAUAAAUAUAGAAAACCUUAUAAGUACAGAAAUGUGAAGGUAGAUAUUAAUAUUACUGAGUUUCAGUUGGCCAUAAAUUAAUAAACAUUCAUUUAUGUCUUCUGAAAAUGAUAUAUUAUGGAUUUCUAAAUAAUAAUAUAAUUUUAAUGUAAUAUUUCCUUAAUUUUUUUCAGAAUUUCAUGUAUGUAUACAAUAUAUUUUGAUCAGAUCCACUUUGCAUGCACCACGAAUUCUUCCUGGAGCCUCCAACAUGACUCCUUUACAAUUUCAUAUUCUCUUUUACUCCUCUGAGUCCUGAUAAUGCUGAUCCUGGCCUUGUGAGCAUUGGUGUGUAGGCAUCUACUGAAGUAGUGGCCAAAACUCCAAAGAAAUCUAUUCUCCCUCCUCCAGCAACUGUCAACUGCCAAUAUAGCUCCUUAGCUCAGGGUGGGGCCUUCAAGAGAAACUUUCUCAUGUUGGAAUUUUAAUUUGCUUGAUCUUUAAGCAUAAAAUUUUUAUAUUAAUUAUUAUGGUAAAAAAAAAAAACGCUUGUGAAGAUCCUCUAUAUUUCUGUUGAAAUUUGAACAGAUGCUCCAGCAAAGUAGGCUGUUGUGAUCCCAUUACAUUUUGAAUACUGUGGUGAGUUGCACAGGUUUGACAACCUCCUCCCCAUAGAUUCAUGUGUUUGUAUGCUUGGCCCAUAGGAAUGUCACUAUUAGGAGGUAUGGCCCUUUGGAGGAAGUACAUCACUGUAGGGGUGGGCUUUGAGGUUUCUUAUGUUCAGGCUCCACCCAGUGCUGAGGAGACCCUCCUCCGGGAUCUCUAAGGAAGACAGUCUCCUUCUGGCAGCCUUCAAUGAAGAUGUAGAACUCUUAGCUCUACCAAGUCAGUCUGCAUACUGCCAUGCUUCCCAUCACUAUGACAAUAAAUGGAACCUCUGAAACCAUGAGCUAGCCCCAGUUAAAUGAUUUCCUUUCUAAAAGUUGCCUUCAUCAUGCUAUCCCUUCUCAGCAAUGGAAACUCUAUGACUGAGUUGGUACCAGGGACUGGGGUACGGCUGUGAUAGGCAUGACCAUGAUUUUGUUGGGAAGAAUGUGGAUUUGGGGACUUUGGAAAGCUGUGCAAUGCUUUAAGUGGGGCUUAAUGGGCCAUUCGAGUAGAAGGAGGAAGACAGUAAUGCUGGGGAUGAUUUGAACUGUAAGGGUUUGGCUCAAGAGUUUUCAGAGGAGAAGAAUUUUAGUACGUUCCUUACAGACUGUUUGUGUGAUAUUUUGCUCAUGUGUUUUGCCCUAAUCCAAAGAGUUAGCCUGAGGCUAAAGUGAAGAGAUUCAAAUUAAUUGCAUUGAAAAAGGAAGUCUCAAGAAAAGCCUAGUAUAGAGUCUGCCCUGUGGUUCACUCUUAUGAAGAGUGUUUUGAUCAAGCAUAGCC
rnacentral:lncRNA from 1 species